AGAGGAAUUCCUGGUGUCAAGCUCCAGAUGACAUGAUACACUUCAAAGGCUUCCCAAGGGCAGAAGGUAAUGAUAAGAUGUUGAUGGUGGAAUUGACAAGGACAUAUUUGAUAUCAAUGAAGAUUUAGAACUGGAUCUUUUUGAAGGAGAC